UACGUAGGGGGCAAGCGUUGUCCGGAAUCAUUGGGCGUAAAGAGCGUGUAGGCGGCUUGGUAAGUCCGCUGUGAAAGUCCAGGGCUCAACCCUGGAAAGCCGGUGGAAACUGUCAAGCUUGAGUCCGGAAGAGGCGAGUGGAAUUCCUGGUGUAGCGGUGAAAUGCGCAGAUAUCAGGAGGAACACCAAUGGCGAGGGCAGCUCGCUGGGACGGUACUGACGCUGAGACGCGAAAGCGUGGGGAGCAAACAGG
rnacentral:rRNA from 1 species